AGUCUGAGCUUGUCAAAUGCUGAAGGAUAGUGGUCAUAAUGCUGUUAUCCCCCAUUGACUCUAAUGGUUGACCUGCUUCAUUCCCUCCCUUUCACAGCCUCUACCUUACCACCAAGAGAGUGGAGGACAUCGCCCUGAGGCUCGUCUCCUUGCGCCAGGCCUUCACUACCCUGCUUGGUUCCACCCUGAGCAGGAACCAUCUGUUUGUGGCGGGAAAGGUCCUCCUGGGCGGCCUUGUUCAGGCCAACCACAUGGACGAGGCCAAAUUCAUCCGUACCUAUAAUGACUUUGUGGACUACCUGAGUGACCCCUCCAAGCGGAAUGACAUUGAGAGGGAGCUGGCUGAGGCAAAGAUCCAUCAUGUGAACAUGAUAGAUGUCCUCUUUGAGCUGGUGCUGUUUGGGAUGAUGACAGCUCAGAAGUCCCUGAUGGUGCACCCUGGUGGGUUCGUGGAGCGUCUGUAUGCUCUCCUGUACUCCUUCCUGCCCACUGCUGCCAACAUGGAGCCAGAGGCUGAUAGAAUCCUACUGCUGCUCAAUGUAAGAGUCAAGAGGUUACUUCCUGUUUACUUCCAUAUUCUUAGUGUACUUCCUUUUGACUUCCUUAUUCAUGGUUAA
rnacentral:lncRNA from 1 species